rnacentral:piRNA from 1 species
UGAGAAUCUCCCAUUCUUUUUGAUUAG